GUUUAUUGUAAACUUAGUGUCAUAAAUGUAAUAAUGGCACCAAGUAUCUAAUAAUGACAUAUUGAGAUGUACCAUGUUAAAUCCAACAAAGAAAAAGAACUUCUGGUGCCAAUGCUGUCAAAGAUAUGCACUCUGUUUAUACCGGGAGGUGAAACAUCCAACUUCUUGGUAAUGGCACCCACUUCUGAAAACAGGCACAGCAGCCAAUACACAGCACCAAAUCAUAUUGUCAUGUCAUAGAAUGCAUUUUAGACACAAUAUGAUUUCCCAAUAAAAUGCAUUAAUUACCAUCAGCUGGCCUGCUAUCGUUGGAUUGAGCACUGGGUCAUGUUUAAUGUGUUCUGUCUCCAGCUGCCACUAUUCAGGUGAAGUUAUAGGCAGUAGCUGCCAGCUGCCCUGCCAAGCUUAUGGAAAGAACACUGGCUACUACUCAUAACAAAAAAAUAACAUGUGCACAUAAAUUUCUUCAGAGUCAUUUGAGAGUUGCACACCAUUGAGAAUCCUGGCAAAUAUUUUAUAAUUCUGAUUAGAAGUUUACAUUCUAGCUUGUCCUAUAUGAUCUGGAUGGAAGCCAUUCCAUUAUCCUUCUCCACUCUGUAGCAGAAGAUGAUGAAACCUCUGGAGCUGUAUAGUGAUUCCAUCACUAAUUCUAAACACCUUCUAUGGACAAGUCUUACCAGACCUGGAAUAGCUGUAUAUUCACACAGUAGCUGUUAACUCAGUUGGCUUAAGAAACAAGCAAUGGUGCAUUCUGUGGCCAUCAGGAUCCAAGGGGACAUAAGCCACUGGACGGGCCUGUCUCCUUAUUUUAUAUUUUGGUCAUUGUGCCAUGUGAAAAGAUGCCAACAUGGCCCAAAAAUAGGAGGUUCACUGGUCCUCACCUGUAUGUAUAACAACUCAACAAACUUACAGAAAAGUUGAUGAACUGACUGAUUCCAUUGAUCCUACAUUUGCCCUGCUAAUCACAGGGAAAAAAGAGGUGCACUGGUUCACAAGUGUGAAACAAUGAGGUAAUGAAAGUCUUCCUGUCAAACUGAAGUCAUCACACUCUGAAGAUUAAUCAUUAAUAAGGACGGCCUUCAGGCGCUCGACUGACGCCUCUCCCAGUAUCAUGCACUCCUGAAAUCUGUAAAAUUGGCAUGCAUUUGCUCUGGUCCAAAGUGGUUCCAGUACCAUAAACACGUCACGUUAUUUACAUCUGGCGACAUUAAAAGGUUUGUAAGGAUAAGAAGGCAUUGCAGGUAAACAAACUUCAAAAGGAAAAAUAACCCUUAUUAGUUGCAUAAGGCGCAAAGGUGUCAAACUGUUCCAUAAAGUAUCCUCACAUAGAGUGGCUCACUCACAUGA